GGCCCCAUCGUCUAGAGGCCUAGGACACCGCCCUUUCACGGCGGCGACAGGGAUUCGAAUUCCCUUGGGGCUACCA
rnacentral:tRNA from 1 species